rnacentral:lncRNA from 9 species
AACAUGGGAACAUUUCCCCCAUUCAGAGGAUCAUUAAAGGAAAUGAAAUCCGGCAGAUCCUUGUUAUGCUCGAGGAAACAGCAUAAAUGGAAAAAAAUCUAUGAACAUCAUAUCCAUAAGUCUCCCGGGAAUCUGCAGGGAAAACAAAUGGGCCAGAGUGUGAAUGGAUAAUGCUUCACCAGUGGGAACCUGGGAACCAUCAGUCCAAGCCUUCAGCAGAAUGAUCCAUUCUAUUCAGCAUAAAAUGAGUUCUUUGGCAAAACAGAGGAAAGGCAGCUUAACCACCUACUCCUUGGCUGUAAGAUCUAUGGAUCUGGAAGGUGCUCAAGCAUAGUCCUGUGGACAUAUGGGAAGAUGCUUGAGGGAAUUCAUCUGAAGGUGAGUUGAAGCCACUUGGCCACAUACCUGCAAAUGUGGCUGUUUUUAAAGAUCUGGGCUUUUCCCCCAUUCCUCAGGUCCAUUCUUAAGAUGGCAACUGGAAGAGAAGGCUACUCUAGGAAGCUGGACACAGCAUCCAACACAAUACAGAUUAGAACAAGGACUCUUCAGCAAGCCCUGCUCCUUUUUGACAAAGGAAGCACAAAGAGGUUAAGAUCUUGUCCAAGAAUGGAAAUGGCCAAGCUGGGAUUCCCAACCAAAUAGUUUGGUGUCAUUUCAUAGAUGCUUAGCCAACACUUUGUACUUUCUUCAACCAGCAAAUGACAAGGAGGAAACCUCGGGAACACAGACACUUGGAGGGUAUGUUGAGGAAGAGAGACCAAUGAAGACCCCAGAGGAUAACCCAGAAAUGCAAAGGAGGAGAGGGAUUUAGGACAGGAAUUGCCCACUGUGUCAAACACUGUAGUGAAGUCCCAGAUGCCUGUGUAUAGAGUCAAGGGCCAGAGAGCACUUUUCUUCGCGGUGAUGGGAAAGGAAGCUGGACUACAGGAGGUUCUGGAGGCAAUAGGAGUGAAGGGACAAGAGCAGUCAGAGCAGAUGCCUCUUCUCAAGAGGAGAGAAAAGAGGAAACGACUUGACUGGUAACAGGAUGGAGGAGAUUUAUGGCAUUUGCAAAAGCAGGAGUUGUUCUGGCCCAGAUUCUGCCUUGGCUCAGAUGAAGAAGCUAAAGUCUGCAAAGGGGAUCAUAGCCUCACCACCAAGCUUGUCUGAAUGAACUUUAGGUUAACAUAACACAUCGGGUCAAGGUCAGGAACAGGAACUCCAGAAGGUUGAAGGAAUUCUGAAGGCUCCACUAAGACAGCCUCUACCAGAAUGAAGAUCUUGAGUGUCUCAGUCAGGAGGAAUCAUGGACACCAGCACGAACAAAGGACAUCAUGACUUUGAAGGCAAGCUCACCUAUAGCUGCCUAAAUGGUGGAGUCUGAGAACCCAGAGUUAGCACAUGUGGUUGGGGGACAUCCUGGUAUCCUUCAAGAUAGAACCCCUUUCUUAAGAUGAAC